rfam:Schistosoma mansoni strain Puerto Rico chromosome W, complete genome
AUACAGCUGACGAGUCCCAAAUAGGACGAAACGCGCGUCCUGAAU